UAAUGUAUCCAAGAGUAAGCAUAAGUUGCUGAUUGUUGGCCUUUCUGCAGUUUUGUUUGUCAUACUGAUUAUUGGAUCGGUAAUAGUAUUUAGGCGAAGGAAAAAUAAGUGUAGGAGAAAAAUGGAUAAAGGAAAAAAAACAAUGUCAGAUGUACCAAUGAUGAUGACAACGACAAUCGACGAUGAUAUGUUAUGACUGAAAUGAAAAAGAAAUAAAUGUAGGAGAAACAUGGAUAAAGAAAUAAAAACAAUGUCAGAAGUACCAAUUAUGAUGACAACGACAAUCUACGAUGAUACAUGUGUUAUGACUGAAAUGUAAAAUUAUUUUAUAUGUUAUUUCUAAAAGAUAGGCACUUUUUGUGUAUAAAGUCUUUUUAUUAGUUUUCUUGUGUGUUAUGUUAUGCUGUUACGCCAUUGCUCCAAUGUUAGGAAACACAUAUUUUAAAAUACAUAUAUAUCUCAGUUAUCAAAUGAUUGUCGUUUGAUAUUUCAUUUUCGUUUAUUGUCUUGUACAUAAAUCAUGUAAGUUGUUUUGGUUAAAUUAUGAGGAGAGAAGUGAAUAGGUAUG